UGGGUAGCCACUUUGACAGGCAUUACUG
rnacentral:piRNA from 1 species